CAGGAAGAUUGGUUCCACUCUGUAAGGGGUGCAACAUGGAGGAGAGAAUACUGCCUCUAUUCCCUUCACAAGGUAAUUGUGACAGCAACAAGAAAGGCUUGAGAAGUUCCUCCAAAGAAGUACUCCAAGGAAUACAGAGUUCUGGGCUGCCUAACAUCUUCUGGUACCAUGAGAGCUAGAACCCGGGAGGAGGCUUCCAGGAGGUUCUGGAGUGAUUCUGUUUAGUUCUGGAGAAACUAGAAAGAUUCAAGUGAAGUUUGUGCGUUCCCAGUCAGCAAGCUAGUUUUGUGGAGAUGAGCGAUUUGAAACAUCUGCAUGGACCAGAAAAGAAGCAGAAAAGUUUCCCCAAAAUUGAAACCUGCUGCAGCUGCUUAUGAUGUAGGAACAGCCUGCUUGCUUGUGCCAGGAGCACAAUGUCUCCUUUCAGUAUUUUUGCCUGCUGGUGAGGUUGUGGUGGCCAAUUCCUUUUAAUUCUAUAAGGGAGAGGAAGUAUUGAAAUUCCACACUUUGGGAAAAGCGUUAUACCCAGAAACAAUAGUUUAUAGUCCCAAACGGACUCCUCAUGACAAGAACAUCAGAGCCAUAAAACAAAGAUGUCAAAACAAACAAAAAUCCCUAUACUUAGAGUAGAUACAGAGAUGGAUGUCAAUAAGCAGGAAAAUUAGAAUUUCAAUGUUACCCUUGGAUAGUCAGCAUGUUUGAGGUCAGCCUGGGCUACAUAAAACCCUGUCUCAACAAAGCAAAACAAAUAAAAAAUAAAACUAGUUUGCAUUUAUGAAUAACUAGAAAAUCAAGAAACAGUUCUGCUGUUUGGAAUUAAUUUCUUGGCUAUAACCAUCCCCAUGAUGUGGUACUUACCAAGUAUUAUUUUAGAGAUAUAUAGCAGAAUGUCAGAAAAGAUUUAAGGACUAUUAGUGCAUAAGGAAACUAACUGGGAGGGAAUGGAAUUAGAAGGAAAUGCCUGUGAUGAGUAGGUCUGCUCUUACCAGACACCCCACUACAUCAGAUAUGGAAUUUCAUAGGUAC